rnacentral:rRNA from 1 species
AGUAGAACGCUGAAGAGAGGAGCUUGCUCUUCUUGGAUGAGUUGCGAACGGGUGAGUAACGCGUAGGUAACCUGCCUUGUAGCGGGGGAUAACUAUUGGAAACGAUAGCUAAUACCGCAUAACAAUGGAUGACACAUGUCAUUUAUUUGAAAGGGGCAAUUGCUCCACUACAAGAUGGACCUGCGUUGUAUUAGCUAGUAGGUGAGGUAAUGGCUCACCUAGGCGACGAUACAUAGCCGACCUGAGAGGGUGAUCGGCCACACUGGGACUGAGACACGGCCCAGACUCCUACGGGAGGCAGCAGUAGGGAAUCUUCGGCAAUGGGGGCAACCCUGACCGAGCAACGCCGCGUGAGUGAAGAAGGUUUUCGGAUCGUAAAGCUCUGUUGUAAGUCAAGAACGGGUGUGAGAGUGGAAAGUUCACACUGUGACGGUAGCUUACCAGAAAGGGACGGCUAACUACGUGCCAGCAGCCGCGGUAAUACGUAGGUCCCGAGCGUUGUCCGGAUUUAUUGGGCGUAAAGCGAGCGCAGGCGGUUUGAUAAGUCUGAAGUUAAAGGCUGUGGCUCAACCAUAGUUCGCUUUGGAAACUGUCAAACUUGAGUGCAGAAGGGGAGAGUGGAAUUCCAUGUGUAGCGGUGAAAUGCGUAGAUAUAUGGAGGAACACCGGUGGCGAAAGCGGCUCUCUGGUCUGUAACUGACGCUGAGGCUCGAAAGCGUGGGGAGCGAACAGGAUUAGAUACCCUGGUAGUCCACGCCGUAAACGAUGAGUGCUAGGUGUUGGAUCCUUUCCGGGAUUCAGUGCCGCAGCUAACGCAUUAAGCACUCCGCCUGGGGAGUACGACCGCAAGGUUGAAACUCAAAGGAAUUGACGGGGGCCCGCACAAGCGGUGGAGCAUGUGGUUUAAUUCGAAGCAACGCGAAGAACCUUACCAGGUCUUGACAUCCCGAUGCUAUUUCUAGAGAUAGAAAGUUACUUCGGUACAUCGGUGACAGGUGGUGCAUGGUUGUCGUCAGCUCGUGUCGUGAGAUGUUGGGUUAAGUCCCGCAACGAGCGCAACCCCUAUUGUUAGUUGCCAUCAUUCAGUUGGGCACUCUAGCGAGACUGCCGGUAAUAAACCGGAGGAAGGUGGGGAUGACGUCAAAUCAUCAUGCCCCUUAUGACCUGGGCUACACACGUGCUACAAUGGUUGGUACAACGAGUUGCGAGUCGGUGACGGCGAGCUAAUCUCUUAAAGCCAAUCUCAGUUCGGAUUGUAGGCUGCAACUCGCCUACAUGAAGUCGGAAUCGCUAGUAAUCGCGGAUCAGCACGCCGCGGUGAAUACGUUCCCGGGCCUUGUACACACCGCCCGUCACACCACGAGAGUUUGUAACACCCGAAGUCGGUGAGGUAACCUUUUGGAGCCAGCCGCCU